rnacentral:rRNA from 1 species
UACGAAGGGGGCUAGCGUUGCUCGGAAUCACUGGGCGUAAAGGGUGCGUAGGCGGGUCUUUAAGUCAGGGGUGAAAUCCUGGAGCUCAACUCCAGAACUGCCUUUGAUACUGAGGAUCUUGAGUUCGGGAGAGGUGAGUGGAACUGCGAGUGUAGAGGUGAAAUUCGUAGAUAUUCGCAAGAACACCAGUGGCGAAGGCGGCUCACUGGCCCGAUACUGACGCUGAGAAGCGAAAGCAUGGGGAGCGAACAGG